rnacentral:rRNA from 1 species
AGCGAACGCUGGCGGCAGGCUUAACACAUGCAAGUCGAGCGCCCCGCAGGGGGAGCGGCAGACGGGAGAGUAACACGUGGGAACAUACCUUUUGGUUCGGAACAACUGAGGGAAACUUCAGCUAAUACCGGAUAAGCCCUUACGGGGAAAGAUUUAUCGCCGAAAGAUUGGCCCGCGUCUGAUUAGCUAGUUGGUGAGGUAACGGCUCACCAAGGCGACGAUCAGUAGCUGGUCUGAGAGGAUGAUCAGCCUCACUGGGACUGAGACACGGCCCAGACUCCUACGGGAGGCAGCAGUGGGGAAUAUUGGACAAUGGGCGCAAGCCUGAUCCAGCCAUGCCGCGUGAGUGAUGAAGGCCUUAGGGUUGUAAAGCUCUUUUGCCCGGGAAGAUAAUGACGGUACCGGGAGAAUAAGCCCCGGCUAACUUCGUGCCAGCAGCCGCGGUAA